UUCAACCAAAAAAGAAAAAAGACAAACGUAACCAGUCUAUUUUAGACUUUUUGUAUAUUUUCCACCAUUCUUGGCGGAUGAAGUUUAAGAAGUAGGGGUUGCCACAUAAAGAAAAUUGCGUAGUGGAAUCAUUUUUGGCAGAAAGUAACUGUAAUUUUAGUUAAGUGAAACAAGUAGCCAAAAUUAACUAGGCAAAUUCGAUAUUGUUCUAAAUUACAGUUUACAAGCAGAUUGCAGUGCAAGGUGUAUAACUAAAAGUGUGAACAAAAAAAUUAUUAAUUAAAGAUAAAAAGUUAAUUAAAGUUUGAAUUGGAAGUCAUUUGUGACAAUUGGUUGCAUUUUGCAUACAUUUUAGUCACUCAAAAGUCACAAUUGCAACGGUUUUGCGGCUGUAAAAAAUUAACUUAAAGUUUUGUAUACAACUCCAUCCCUUCGUCACCUUGAAGUUAUAGCACACCAUAGACACUUAAAGAAUGACAUGUUACGCGACAAAUUUCCACUAAUUAAUUAAUAAUUAAAUUAAAUAAUUUAAUUUGAGUAGAUUAUUUUUAACACUUCCGAUAAGGGCUGCUUCAGUUGAGAGUUCUUUUUCUGCAAGUACAAUUCAAAAUAAGUCACGCCUUGCCCUGGCCAGUCACAGCAUUGUAAGCGGUUAUUCUCCAAACUUUGAAGGCGUGGAAGUUCUACAGACAGAGAAACAUGUUUCCAAACGAUACACGUUAGAAACAUUACAUAAAUUCUCAAUAACAAAAAAACAUGAACCGAAACACUUCACGCAAAACAUUUCUGUUCUUUCUACCCAAAUAUAAUUUUAAUUUGUGCUUUAUUCAAUUUAGACUUAACUUCAUUCUUUAAAGUGCCAAUUAUAUUUAUAGUUUUAUUUUUAAUUUAUGUUAAAUUAUGUAUAUAGGUAAUUAAUAUUAAUUUUGUUUAUUAUUUUCUUCAGUGAGUAAACUAUAUUGUAUUUGUGUUCCAUUGAUCCAAGAUUAUUUCUAUAUUUUUUUGUGUUAAUAAAGUUUCCCUUGAAGAAGGCAGCAAUCCCUGCCGAAACGUUUUGAAAGUUAAUGUUA